GGUCUUGUUUUUUUUUCCCUGUAAUUGCAUAAAUGAAUAGAGGAAGAUGACGACGUUUGAUGCUGUGCUCUUUGGCUCGUUUUCCCAAUCUUUUCUUUUUCUUUUUCUUUUAGCUUUUCUGGUCCUCUCCAUCAUCACCAUUCUCCAACCCAUUUCAUCUCAAAAGAACAAUUCUACAAGGUCUACCAAAUCUCUAUGCCAAGUCAAACUUGUAAUUAUAUCAUCUCUUCCUUCCAUGUCAUUAUCCCUAACUUUAUUGUUCGGCAUAUCUAAGUAACCAUAUGCCGAACAAGAGCAAUUCUGCAAACACCAGGACUAGCAUGUACUCACAUUCAUCUUCCCUAAUGGUCGAUCCGGAAGUUUCAUCUUCUGCACCUUCAAAAACCCAUAUUUGUUUUUGCAUUCUAAAUUUUUUUUCGCUUUGCACCCACCAGACCAGUCUCCUCUGUCCAUUUUUGUUCAUUUCUAGGGUUAUAACCAGUUCAAACACUUACAAACUUGCGAUGAAGAGGAUUUGCUAAUAGCACUUAUAGGUCGCCCAUCAAUUCUGUCAGCACCGUCAUCACAGAAUGGCCAUGUUUGACUAGACCAAUCCAGCUUGUUGCUGCUGGAGCCUUCAUGAUUUACCAGUAACCUGUCUGUUAGCAACUUGAGGGUGUCUUCAAUAUGAUGGAACUUGUCGGCGAACCCUACCUCCAUCCAACUCAAGUUAUCCUGCAACUCUCUCAAGUUGGUUUCCAACUUUUCAAUUCUUUUUUUGUUUGUUGUUAUGAUGUUGAUACCAAUUGAUAGAUUCCUGUCAGAAGCCAAAGAAUUUAGUAAAGAAAUUCUCUUCGGGUGAGAAUAAACCAUAAGAUUUUAAGAUUCAUAAAUAGUCUGCCUCAUAGCUUGUUCAUUCAAGCUUUAAAUAUACCAAAGUGAACUGAAAAAUUCAUAUUGAUAAUGGAAAAGAGCAUGAAAUCGAAAAUGGGAUAAUGGGUUUGCUGCAAUGUAGUGGUGUAACACAUAAGCUCCCUCUUUGUCCUGAAACUAGCCAAAUUUCAUGACAAUCAAAACCCCACUUAUCACAUAAUUUAGUCGUUCCUCCAUCAAUUUUGGUUUUAGAAAGAAAGAUUAUAUUUUCUAGUAAGAGCCCUUAAUUUACUAACUGCAAAGAUAUGGACUAAUAGCAAAGGUUAGCCCAUACCUUUGGAUCUGGGGGGGGCUGCUCAAUGUGAAUGGAGAUUAGAAUCUAGGGCUUUUUUUUUUUUAUUUGAGUUGGAUCUUAUGGGAGAAAAUCCUUUCUAAAGGAGCAUGCCAUAUAUCCAAAGUUGGCUUCUUUUCUAAGACUGCAAAACUUGGCCUAAUUAGGGGCUUGGUCUUUGAGAUAAGCUUUUGGUGAGUUUGGUAGACUGUCUGGAGUCUGGCCUAGCUUUUGUUUGAGAUUGGGGCUUUAUUUUUGGUGAAAGGGAUUAGCAUUAGAGAGAAGGAUGAAAUAAGAUAUGUUGGGAUAUAUGCCCCUAGUCAUUUAAUAAAGUAUGUGAUAUGAUGACUUUAGCCAUAUUUUCAUUAAAUGUUGGAAUUGAGAGAUUGAAAUUAGGUGUUGAGGUUCCGCUAAGGAGCAUAGGAUAAUUAAUAAACUCCACCAACACUGAGAUUGAGAAAAAAGAAUCUCAAUGAUGGGGAUGGUUUAAAGGCUUAACUUUAAAGCCUUUAGCCACUUAGAAAUUUUGGUCUUUCAUAAUAUUUACUAGCUGAGAUGGCAUAAACAUCCCAAUCAUCUAUUUUUUGGCCUUUCUUAAGUGAUGUAGAACCAGAUGAUCAAAGAUUACAUCUAUAAUCCCACAUAUAUAUUUAACAUAGAUAACUUAAAACUCUAAAUAAAUCUUCUCUACCAAACCCACAACUAACCUGUAAUUGAAAAUUUGGGUGAUUGGGAUGAAAGAAACAAGAAUAAAUAAACACCACAAGAUUAUUUAACAAAUUAAUUUAAUUAUUGAUGCAAUAAGAAUUCUCACUUGUUAAAAUUUUACCAAAGGCAAUGAAAUUCAUUCAAUAAUCAAAGUGUUAUAUUAUAUUGCAAAGAAGAUAUUUAUAGAAUAAGACAUCUAGAUUUUACUAAAAAAUCAUAAUUAGAUGAUCUAGAGAAAUAUAAACAUAAUUUAAAUGAUUUAAGAAAACAUGAUAUUAAAUGACAUAGGAGAACAUAGUAUUAAAUGACCUAAGUGAACAUAGUAUUAAAUGACCGAGGGAAACAUAGUAUUAAAUGACGUAGGAGAACAUAAUAUUAAAUGAUGUAGAAAAAUAUAGUAUUAAAUGACGUAGGAAAACAUGAACGUAAUUUAAUUAUGUAGGAAAUGACCAAAAUGAUCCCAGACAUUCAUUUUAAAUUUUGCCUACACACUUGAACGAAAUUAAUGAUCUUCUUUGGCUUCUUUGAUUCUUCAAAUAGUUUUCAUGUGCUAAGUUUUUGUUGUAUCCAUCUUUAUACAAAGUCUUGAAAUAUAUAUUUUAGUUUGUUGACUUGAAAUUUUGUGAUUGGACCAGCUGACAUUUUAAUAUCUUCUUCAUACUUCUCUUUAAUACGUUUUGAACUCAUAUCUACAUCAUUCCCUCAUUCUUCAAAAGGAUUCGUACUCGAAUAUGCAUUCAUAUCAAACGGAGAAAGAUCAUAAACAUUAAAAGUAGCAGACUCAAAAUAUUUAUCAGAGAGAUUAAUCCGAUAAGCAUUAUCACUAAUUUUCUCCAACACUUGAAAUGGUCGAUUGCCUCUUGGAUCUAACUUUGAUUUUCUUUGUUUUAGAAAUCUUUCCUCGCACAUAUGUUCCCAAAUCCAAUCGCUAGGUCCAAGUACAACUUGUUUUCGCUCUUUAUUAGCCAUUCCAGCAUAAACUUGGUUCUUCUUUUUAAUCUACUCACGUGUUUUCUCAUGUAUAACUUUAACCAUUUCAGUUUUCUUCUUACCAUCUAAACUAGAAAUUUCACUUAAAGAUAAUAACAUUAAAUCCAAAACAGUUAAUGGAUUAAAACCAUACACAAUUUCAAAAGGAGAAAAACUUGUAAAAGAAUGAAUAGUAUGAUUAUAUGCAAACUCAAUGAAUGACAAUCAAUCUUCCUAAGUUUUCAAAUUCUUACCAAUAACAACAUGCAACAAAGUUUCCAAAGUUCUAUUGACAACUUCAGUUUGACCAUCAGUUUGUGGAUGACAAGUAGUAAAAUACAAAAGUUUAGUUCCUAACUUACUCCACAAAGUUUUCUAGAAAUGACUUAAAAAUUUAACAUCAUGAUCAGAAACAAUAUUCUUACGUACAUCAUGUAUCCUUACUACUUCUCUAAAGAAUAGAUCAACAAUGUUUGUUGCAUCAUUGAUUUUGUAACAUGCAAUGAAAUGUGUCAUUUUAUUAUACCUGUCAACUACAACAAAUAUACUAUCUUUACCUUUUCUAGUUGUAGGCAAACCUAACACAAAAUUCAUAGAAAUGUUAGUUCAAGGUUGAGUAGGAACUGGUAAUGGAGUGUAUAAAUCAUGCGAUUUGUACUUAAAUUUAGUCUGUCUACAUGCAAUACAAGAUGAACAAAGUUUCUCAACAUCCCUAUGCAUGUUUGGCUAAUAAAAAUGUUCAGUUAGAAUGUCCAAAGUUUUAUGCACACCAAAAUGACCCAUUAACCCCCCACUAUGAGACUCACGAACAAGCAAUUUUACGUAAUGAACAUGUAGGCACACACAAUUGUCUUUCACGAAAUAAAAAUCUCUCAUGUCUAUAAAAUUUAUCAAAUGCAGCAUUUUUACAAACAGUAUAAACAUUGCAAAAAUCAAAAUCAGUAGCAUACAUAUCUUUGAGUUGCUAAAAUCCUAACAAUUUAGAAUUAAGUGUAGAUAUUAAAGCGUACCUUCUAGAUAAUGCAUCUACCACCACAUUGUUUUUACCUUGCUUGUAACGAAUCACAUAGGAAAAAGUCUCUAUAAACUCUAUCUACUUUGUAUGCCUUUUAUUCAGCUUCCCUUGUCUCUUUAAAUGCUUGAGGGAUUUAUGAUCAGUAUGAAUCACAAAUUUCUUUGGAAGUAGGUAAUGCUGCUACACUUGUAGUGCAUGAACUAAAACAUAUAACUCUUUAUCAUAAAUAGAAUAAUUUUUUGCUGAAGUAUGUAAUUGGACGUUUAUCCUGCAUCAAAACAGCUCCAAUCCUAUUCUAGAAGCAUCAUAUUCAAUUUUAAAAUUUUUAAAAAAAUCAGGUAAACAAAGAAUAGGUGUAGAAUACAAUUUAUCUUUUAAACUUUUGAAUACAUGCUCUUGCUCCUCUCCCCAUUUGAAUCCAACCUCCUUUUUAAUCACUGCAGUUAAAGGAGCAUCAAUAGUUGAGAAAUUUUUCACAAAUCUUCUAUAAAAACUAGUCAGCCUAUGAAAACUCCUCAUAUCAGACACACUCCUAGGUAUUGGUCAUUCUUGUAUAGUUUUUAUUUUGUCACUAUCAACCUCAACUCCCUUUGCACUAAUAAUAAACUCUAAAAACACAACUUGAUUAAGGUAAAAAGCACACUUCUGUAAGUUAGCAAACAAUUGUUCUUUUCUCAAAACUACUAGAACAGUUUUAACAUGCACAAGAUGAUCAUUCAAAGAUUUGCUUUAAAUCAAAUAUUAUCAAAUAAAUCACAACAAACUUUUCAAGAAAUUCACGCAAGACAUGAUUCAUUAACUUCAUGAAUGUACUAAGUGUAUUAGUUAAAUUAAAUGGCAUAACCAUCCACUUAUACAAACUAUAUUUAGUUUUGAAUGUAGUCUUCCUUUUUUCACCUGGUUUUAUGCGAAUUUGGUGAUAUCCACUUUUCAGAUCAAUCUUUGUAAAAAUACAUACACCAUGCAAUUUAUCUAACAUGUCAUCUAAUCUAGAAAUAGGAUAACAAUACUUUACAGUGAUUUUAUUGACUACAUGACAGCCAACACAUCCUCCAUGAUCCAUCUUUCUUAGGGAUAGCAACACAGGAAUUGCACAUGGACUUAUGCUCUCCCUUACAUACUCUUUUGCCAAGAGUUCAUCCACUUGCCUUAGGAGUUCUUUUGUUUCAUCUAGAUUACUCCUAUAUUUUGGUCUAUUAAAUAUUGCAAAACCAGGAAUGAAAUCAAUUUGGUAUUCAAUACCCCUUAGAGGUGGUAACUUAUUUGGCAUAUCAUCAGGAAACACAUCUUCAAACUCCUGCAACAAAGAAACAUACAUACUAGGCAGAUUUAGAUUAAGGUUAGUUUUNNNNNNNNNNNNNNNNNNNNNNNNNNNNNNNNNNNNNNNNNNNNNNNNNNNNNNNNNNNNNNNNNNNNNNNNNNNNNNNNNNNNNNNNNNNNNNAUCAUUUUCAUUUGAUCCUUAUAAACUUUUGAAGGAGAUAAUGGCACAAGUGUGAAAUUUCUGCCAUUCAAAGUAAGUGAGUACCUAUUUGUGUACUCAUCAUGUAUGACUCUUCUAUCAAAUUGUCAAGGUCGCCCUAACAACAAUGACCAGCUUGUAUGGGUACCACAUCACAUAAUACUUCAUCAACAUAUCUCCCAAUAGAGAAUGAAAUUAUAACCUGUUUAAUCGCCUUCACUUGUCCACGAUCAUUCAACCAUUGUAGCUUAUAGGGUCUUGGGUACUUUCUACAUUUUAAACCUAAUUUCUCCACCAAAGUAAUACUAGUCGCAUUUGCACAACUCCCUCCAUCAAUGACACAACACAAAAUUUUUUACUUACAAGGCAUUUUGUAUAGAACAAAUUUUUCCCUUGUUCUAAAAUUUUUUCUUUAAGUUGCAUAUUAAGAGCUCGUCUAAUGACCAAUGAUUCUCUACAUACAGCAUACUCAACAUCGUCAUCACAAUCUUCUAAAAGUGGCAUAGUAUCAUAAUCAUAAUCAGAUUCAAAUUCAACAUCUCCAUUGUCCUUAAUAAACAUGACUUUCUUAUUUGGACAUUGUGAAGUAAUAUGUGUCACUCUCAAACAUUUAAAAUAUUUAAUAUUUCUAUAUUUAUUAGUAGAUAUAAGAUUAAAAGUACCUCUAAUAGAUGAUGAGGUACCUUUAUUUUGCCUUGGUUGAAAUCUGUAGCAUUAUCCUUGGAACCAAAACUCUUUUCCUUGGAACCAAAGCUCUUCUCCUUAGUCUUCUCCUCUUUCUUAGACCACUUUGAAUUCCAAUUGUUAUUAGAAAUAGAAUAUGAUCUUGUUGUUCCCUUACUUUUUAAUUGUUUUUUUACUUUCAUUGCCAUAUUAACCACCUCCUCCAACUCAACAUAGUGAUGUAAUUCAACUAUAUUGGCAAUUUCUCUAUUCAAGCCACUUAGAAAUCGUGUCAUGUUAACUUCUCUAUAAUCCUUUAUAUUUACUCGAAUCAUAGCUAUUUGCAUUUGUUUGUGAUAAUGUUCAACUAAUUUAGACCCUUUAGUGAGCCUUUACAAUUUUUGAUGAAGCUCUCUAUAGUAAGAUGAUAGAACAUACAUUUUUCUCAUGAUAACUUUCAUUUGAGUCCAAAUGGUGAUGGAUGCCUCUCCAUUACGUCUCUUAGAGAUUAAUAAUUAAUUCCACCAAACCAAAGCAUAAUCAGUAAAUUCAGCGGCUGCCAACUUCACCUUCUUCUCCUCAGAGUAAUUAUGACAUUGAAAUAUCAACUCAAGUUUUCGCUCUCAUUCUAGAUAAGUUUUAGCAUUAUUUCUACCUUAAAAAGAAAGAAUCUUUAUCUUGAUAGAAUUAAUGUUAUUGUCCCUCCUUUCUGGUCUUUUUUGCGUCAUUGAUUCUUCACUAUCUUCAUCUACUUCCCUUUCUAUCUCAUUAUCAUUCAACAUAUUUUCUCUUCCCCUAUUGUGCCUCUUUUGAUUAGGACCACCUUAUCGGCCCUAAAGGCUAUGUAUAUCACCUUUCUUGUUGUCUAUGUCCCUAUUAUGCUUCUCAAAUUGACUUUGCAUUGCUUCUAAAAUAAAGGUUAUGUCAUUCAUGGUUAUUUCACGCUUCUCACUUUCAGAAUUUGACAUAAUGUAAAACCUACAAGAAAAAUAUUAGUAAAGAAAAUUCUUCACAACACUUUCUUACGUGUUUCAUUCUUGAACAAAUUUGUCAUUUCUCUUGUGUUUUUACUCAAGAUUUUGGCUUUUAUCUUAUUCUAUGUUCACACCCUCAAGUCUUUUACCACUCUAUUGUCUUCUUCAAGUUAUACUUCAGAAUUGAAAGCAACUCAAUUAAGAUAAACAAGUAGUUGUCUAUGUGACACUUCAAGGAAUCUUAAUGAGUGAGAAAGGUAAACAAUUAAUACUAGAUGCAAAUUAGAUAAACAAGAACAAGAUCUAAACAUACGGAUUAAGGUGAGUGCGUCUUUUUAAAUUAAUUAAAGUAUGAUGCAAUUAGCUACUUUUAGUGUAACAGAAAUAAGAGGUAUAUGAAGAAACGAAACUAAAAAUGCAAGAAAACAAUUUUUGACUAAUGAUAAUAGAAUUCAAAUCAUUCCUUAUGAGAAAUCUGAAUAUGUAAACCUAUAAUCUAUUCUCACUGUAAGCUACACUCUAAACAAUAAAAAUUAUACUAUUGUAAGACAAUAUAUGUGAAGUGGAUGCACUUUGACUAAGAUGGACAGAAUUGAAAGUUCAAUGAACACACAUUUUCUCUUUUGCAAUAGAAACCGAUUAUGAUUUUUUUCUUUCUUUUUUUUAAUUUUUUUAAUUUGGCUAACAAGAACAAAGUAUAAAAAGACAAAAAACACAGAAUUAAAGAAUAAGAACAAAGUGCAACCAAAAUUAAGAAUAACAAAGAUAGAAGUUGAACAAUCUAAACAAAUAAGAAUAAGAAGAUAAAGUUAGAUAAAUUAAACAUAAAUGAUGCCUAAAAAUUUAUCCAAAACCAAAACUCUAAUACCAAAUUGCUGUAGAACUCAAGAAUCAAAUAUUACAUUCAGAACCCCACAUAUAUUUAGUCUAGAUAACUUAAAAGCCUAAACAAACCUUCCUUACCAAACUCACAACUAACCUGUAAUUGAGAACUUGAGUGGUUGAAAUGAAAGAAGCAAGAAUGAAUAAACACCACAAGAUAAUUUGAAAAGUUAAUUCAAUUCUUGAUGCAAUAAGAAGAAUAGGAAUUCUCAUUUGUUAAAGUUCUACCAAAGACAAUAAAAUUCAUUCAAUAAUCGAAGUAUCAUAUUACAUUGUAAAAGAGAUAUUUAUAGGCUAAAACACUUAGAUUCUGCUAAAUGAUCAUAAUUAGAUGACCUAGAGAAAUAUGAACAUAAUUUAAAUGAUAUAGAGAAACAUGAUAUUAAAUGACAUAAGAGAACAUUGUAUUAAAUGAGAUAGGGGAAUAUAGUAUCAAAAUGAUUUAGAGAAACAUGAUAUUAAAUGACUUAGAGAAAUAUAAUAUUAAAUAAUCUAGAAAAAUAUAGUAUUAAAUGACGUAGGAAAAUAUGAACAUAAUUUAAUUAUAUAGAAAAUAACUAAAAUGAUCUUAAACAUUCAUUUUAAAUUUUGCACACACACUUAGACGAAAUUAAUGAUCUUCUUUGACUUUUUUUAUUCUUCAAAUAGUUCACAUGUGCUAAAUUUUUGUUGUAUCCAUUUUUGUACAAAUCCUUGAAAUGUAUGUUUUAUCUUAUUGGUUUAAAAUCUUGUGAUUGGACCAACUAACAUUGUAAUAUCUUCUUCAUGCUUCUCUUUAAUGCCUUUUGAACCCAUGUCCGCAUCAUUAAGUUUUGAUUUCUUCCACUACUUCCCAUACUAGCAUUUGGGAGAUGUUAGCAAUAUCACAAUGAACCUUGUAGUUUGAUAAAUCUACCUUGAGGAGAAGAAAUAACUUGCAACUUACCAGAGGGGCAACUUCUGUCAUCAUGAUUAAUAAGGCUGAAGUAGUAACAACAUCAUGAUACUAUUUCAUAUAGAAAGAUCACUCAGUAUCGUACACCAUUGGCUUGUUGAAAAGAAAUUCUAGAGCAAGAGGUUUGUGAGAUAUAUUAAUCUCUACUUUGAGUCUUAAAUAAUUCGGCUAUCUUUUGAGUUUUUUAUCUUGUCGAUAUAUUGCUGGUAGCCAAUCUUUCUUGUAUUUUCUUUAUUUGACUUACUUAGGGGAAGCCAUUUCCUAAACCAAGCAACUCUUUUCUUGAAAUAGCAGUCCUGAACAGUAGUUCAAGCAGUAAGUAAUAAUACAGUACCUCUAGUGAUUCAAAUCUCCUUUGCUCUAAUCUUCUCUUUUGACAUAGUUGUUAAACAAGAAUUAAAAGAUGUUUGAUCAAUUGCAUUGAUUUCCUAAGUAUUUAAUUACCUCUAUAUAUUAUUAGCAAUUUGUUUUAGUACUUUUGUGGAAUAAGUUUUUGAGGGAGACUCAUACCAAUAAGCAUUCUUCCCCUUUAUCAUCUUCAUUUUUGCCUUCUAUCGUUAAUCCCAAGUCUUAACAUGACAUUCGCCUUGUCUUGUUGUUUAUCGGAUCUAUGGUUUGAUCUCAUUGAUCCAUUUCCACUUGGAUAUGAUGAAAAGAUGCAAAGCUAUGGCUGAGCUUGAUGGGAAUAGGAGAUGAGGAGGAAUUUGAGGAAGGAAUGAGAUUAAAAUAAGACGAUGAUUGGAAAAGACUACCGGAGAGAACUACCAUUCAAUUGUAAUUUAAUUGACUGUAAAAAUACUUUUUCUGAUCUAAAUCUCAUAUAAUAGCAUUAUAUAGUCCUUGGUUUUAGUCAAU
rnacentral:lncRNA from 1 species